AUUGUCACACCGUGCCUGUAGCCAAGAGAAGUAAGUGAACUGGGUUGGAUUUCAAAGGAGACUCCAUCAAAGCACAGCUAUUUCCUGGGACGCCCUGUCAUUUUGAUGAAGCUAAAAUGAGUCACUGCAACUUUCUUUCUUCAUUAAGCCUAGAGAGUGAUCGCAAUGCCUGUGGGCUGUGCUCCAGCUGCCUAGAAGAGGAUAUGCUGCCAAUGCUCUGAGGGAUCAGACAUAAUGAACUAAGUGUCAGUGAGCCACCAUGAGGUAAGAUGAACUCUGCCUUGACGGCAGAUACAGCUGGGACAACUGCCUGGAUGAUGAAAGAUUUUCAUUAAACUGGGUUACUGGGCCUAAAAAACAA